GCUCAAACAGCUGUAAGGUCAGAGUCGUAAAUCACUCGAAAUUCGAUGCCCAAAUUGCAACUCUUUAAUUAUAAUUUAUCCAUCGAAGAUCCAACUUUGCCAUCCAGAAAACCCCCAAUUUCCAUGCGACGACGAAAUCACCCAAAAUUUCAAGGAGAAAUCUAGAGAGAGAAACAAAGCCAGUGAAUCCUAGACAGAUAGGGAGAGGGAGAGUCACAAGAACACCCACACGAACGGAGAGAGACGGAGAGAGUGUUUUCUUUUAUAUUUUUUUUUUUGGUAAUGGCGGAGGGUAAAAAGGAGAAGAAAUCAAGCAGUAGCAGCACCAGUAAUGAAGAGAGCGUGAAGCUAUUUGUGGGUCAAGUACCAAAGAACAUGACAGAAGCUGAGCUUCUGGCAAUGUUCAAAGACUUCGCUUUGGUAGACGAAGUCAACAUCAUUAAAGACAAGACAACUCGCGCUUCCAGAGGUUGUUGUUUUCUAAUAUGUCCUUCCAGACAAGAAGCAGACAAGGCAGUUAAUGCUUGUCAUAAUAAGAAAACAUUGCCUGGGGCAUCUAGUCCGUUACAAGUGAAGUAUGCAGAUGGCGAGUUGGAAAGGCUAGAACACAAACUCUUUGUUGGUAUGCUUCCAAAAAAUGUUUCUGAAGCUGAAGAAUCUGAUUUAUUCUCUGUAUAUUGUACUAUAAGAGACUUGCAAAUACUAAGAGGUUCUCAACAAACAAGCAAAAGCUGUGCUUUUUUGAAGUACGAGACAAAAGAACAAGCCCUUGCUGCCCUGGAGGACAUCAAUGGAAAGCAUAAAAUGGAGGGUUCAAGUGUUCCUUUGGUUGUCAAAUGGGCAGAUACAGAAAAGGAAAGGCAGGCUCGGAGGGCCCAGAAAGCACAAUCUCAAGCUAUGCCCAAUACUGAUUCACAACAUCCAUCAUUAUUUGGUGCCUUGCCAAUGGGAUAUGCUCCCCCUUAUAAUGGAUAUGGAUACCAGGCUCCUGGAGUUUAUGGACUUAUGCCAUACCGUCUGCCACCCAUGCAGAAUCAGCCUGCAUUUCAUAGCAUGGUUCCUCCAGUAAAUCAAGGAAAUGCAUUGCGUGGUGGAAUCAGACCUGACCUUUCACCCAACAUUUCACCUAGAAAUUAUGCUCCUGCUACUUAUAUGGGCUCUGCUUAUCAUACGGUGACAGGUCUUCAGUAUCCAGUGGCAUAUCCUGGAGCAAUGAUGACUCACCGGCCUUUGAGUAGUUCACCUGGUGCAUUGUCACCCACAGUUGUGAGCAGUAAUUCUGCAACACCGUCAGGUGUCGGUGGAAGUUCUGGGGUUCAAGUGGAAGGUCCACCUGGUGCUAAUUUGUUUAUAUAUCACAUACCUCAGGAAUUCAGCGAUCAAGAACUAGCCAAUGCUUUUGAAGCAUUUGGUAAGGUCUUAAGUGCCAAGGUUUUUGUUGAUAAAGCAACUGGUGUUAGCAAAUGCUUUGGAUUUGUUAGUUAUGACUCACCAGCAGCUGCUCAAAAUGCUAUUACCAUGAUGAAUGGAUUCCAAUUAGGUGGUAAGAAAUUGAAGGUUCAGCUUAAGAGAGACAAUAAACAGAGCAAACCUUAUUGAUCGGCAGUUCCUCAUUCCAAAACACUGAAGAAACUGGUGGCUCAUUUCACAGGAUAAAGGUAUGUUUGAUCUUGAAGCUUUGCCUGCAUUCGAGUUUGAACUUAGGUUCUGAUAAUCUCUUUCAGCUCUUUAUUUUGUUUCUACUGUAAUUCAUUUCACAUGAUUGGCAUACCUUUGAUUGCAUUUGCAUGCAUUUAAGUUUAAACUUUUGUCCUCGAUCAACUUUAUGAAGAUUGCUCUUCUUGAAGGCUGAAUGAGUUUCAGGAAGGUCGAAAAACUUAUAUAUCUCAUGUUUAAAUUGUUGUUUCCUUGAGACGACUGUUACACAAAGAUGUGGCACGAGGAAAAGAAUGAAGGGAAACAUUAUUGUUCCAACAAAGUUCUGGAUGAAAAAGGAACGCAUCUAGAUCACUCCUUGUAGGAAAUCACUUGUCAUUCUAUAUCACUCUAAGGGAGGAUUGCAGAGCUUAUAGAAGCUUUCAACCUUCCAGAGAUAUGGUACAGAGCUGGGAGUAUGCUUCAUGUGUUACUUGGGCGGCAGCUCUUCUCAGCAUAGAGCCCUCACGCAAGGAACCGUUGGGAGGGGGGUUUCGACAGCUUGAUAGAUUACGAAAUCCUUGUGCGGAUUACGAAAUGAACGGGAUAAUUUAUAUUUUAGGUCAUUAUCCUGGUGAUGCAGGAUAAAUUUCAUGAUUUCAGCUUUGAAGGAUCAAAAGUAUUUAUUCUCGGAGCUGGUAAUAGAAAUAUACCAGUGUUUUUCUUCAUCUUCCAUUUGGAAUACUGUAUUCUGCUGGUAUUGUAGGUUUUGUGUUGCCUUUA